rnacentral:rRNA from 1 species
AACGAACGCUGGCGGCAGGCUUAACACAUGCAAGUCGAACGCGUGUAGCAAUACACGAGUGGCGCACGGGUGAGUAACACGUGGAUUAUCUGCCUCUUGGUUCGGAAUAACCCCGGGAAACUGGGGCUAAUACCGAAUGGUUCCUACGGGAUAAAGAUUUAUCGCCAAGAGUUGAGUCCGCGUCCGAUUAGCUAGUUGGUGGGGUAACGGCCUACCAAGGCGACGAUCGGUAGCUGGUCUGAGAGGACGAUCAGCCACACUGGGACUGAGACACGGCCCAGACCCCUACGGGAGGCAGCAGUGGGGAAUAUUGGACAAUGGGGGCAACCCUGAUCCAGCCAUGCCGCGUGAGUGAUGAAGGCCUUCGGGUUGUAAAGCUCUUUUGGCGGGGACGAUGAUGACGGUACCCGCAGAAUAAGCCCCGGCUAACUUCGUGCCAGCCGCCGCAGUAACAC